AGCAGCCGCGGUGAUUCCAGCUCCAAUAGCGUGUAUUAAAGGUGUUGCAGUUAAAAAGCUCGUAGUUGAAUUUCAGGGAUCAAUAUUUCGGUCAUGCCGUUGGUAUGCACUGUUAUCAUUGAUUUCUCACCUUCUAAAGAACCGUAUUGCCAUUAAUUUGGUGUUACGGGGAAUUAGGACUGUUACCUUGAAAAAAUUAGAGUGUUUAAAGCAGGCUAACGCUUGAAUACAUUAGCAUGGAAUAAUGAAAUAGGACGUUCGAUCCUAUUUUGUUGGUUUCUAGGAUUGACGUAAUGAUUAAUAGGGAUAGUUGGGGGCAUUAGUAUUCAAUUGUCAGAGGUGAAAUUCUUGGAUUUAUUGAAGACUAACUACUGCGAAAGCAUUUGCCAAGGAUGUUUUCAUUAAUCAAGACCGAAAGUUAGGGGAUCGAAGACGAUCAGAGCCGUCGUAGUCUUAACCAUAAACUAUGCCGCCCUAGGGAUCGGAUGAUGUUAAUUUUUUAAUGACUCA
rnacentral:rRNA from 1 species